UACGGAGGAUGCAAGCGCUAUCCGGAUUUAUUGGGCGUAAAGCGUCCGCAGGUGGCUAUUCAAGUCUGCUGUCAAAGCUCGGAGCUUAACUCCGAAUCGGCGGUGGAAACUGAACAGCUAGAGUGCAGUAGGGGUAGAGGGAAUUCCCAGUGUAGCGGUGAAAUGCGUAGAGAUUGGGAAGAACACCGGUGGCGAAAGCGCUCUACUGGGCCUGCACUGACACUCAUGGACGAAAGCUAGGGGAGCGAAAGGG
rnacentral:rRNA from 1 species